rnacentral:lncRNA from 1 species
ACUCAACUGCGGCUCUUACGAAAAUCAAACCACGAAAUCCGACGACGGUUGGGAAGAAAAUGACGAGCUCUGCAAAACCGUUGGAACGGACUGGUACGAAGAAUCCGUUGAAAUUAGUUGGCGAUCGACCUAGAAAACAGAUCGGACAGGUGAAGAAGAAUCAGAAAAAUACCGGUAAUAGAUCGGAUUGUAGUGACCGGCGAGUGUUCCGAAAAGGCGGCAAUGGAGGAGGUGGUUGUGAAGGCGAUGCGUCGUCGACUGUAAACACAGCUUUAAUCCAACAAUUAACACCUGAGAAAAAUGAGAUAGAGAAGAAGACUUCAAGUACUCUUACUACUACUAUGAUGACGGCUACACCUCCGAUCGAAGCCUCGAUCUCGCCGGAGAUAGUGGGAGUCGGUGCGGCUUCACUCGCUCC